ACAGGCUGUACAUGCCAAAAUAAAAACAAAUAUAAGACUAAAAACAAAAGAAGAAUAUGAUAAAUUGAUUAUAAAAAAGAGAAACCUCUGACGACGUCUUUCCAAUAGGCAACAUAUCACUGUUCUUCGUAGCUACUGAGUUCAGCUGCAUGAUCUGAAGACAAUUUAAUGACUAUCACGAAAUACAAAGGGGAAAGCAUCCAUACCCACAUUUGGUGUUCUUGUUCCAACUGGGUCAAUUCGUUUUCCCCAUCAACUAUUAACAAGGAAACAGUAAAACGCGAAUGGUUCCCAGCUUUUUCAUGCUGUUUCCAACAAAUUCCCAAAGGAUUGCAGCCUAGGCGUUUUCAUCACUAUCGCGCUGAUAGGGUUACGUUGUUAUCGCUGAUGUGAACUCGACUUCAAGCGACCAAGGAUCACUCUUAUCUCAUAUAUCUCGUAUUUCAUUGUCUCUUCGACUAUAACACAGAGGUUUGAGCAGUCUAACGAGGAAAGAAUCGAAGUUCGUAUUUAUUCCAUUGCUUGCAUUUUAUAACGGCCCCUCGCUUAAGUAGAGAAGGUCAACUAGAAUGAUCAGACGAAAUGAGCCGACGUUCUGAUUGAAAGGUUGCUACUUCCCAGCACUUUCAAUCUAUACGGCAUCCAGUCCAGCAAAUUUGCAUAGAACUGCUUUGACACUUCGAAAAAUACCUUGGAAUGGCACCUCUUCAGGUAACAGAAUAAGACGAUGGUUCGUUUAAAAUUCAAGGGACAUUCAACACCACCGAGUACGAGAAGUCAAGCCAAGGUGGGGGGGAUUUCAUUUCAAACACAUUUCGGGAAUACUUUCCAUUCAUCUUUCUCUGGCGUCCGAACAGCCAGGACCAU